rnacentral:rRNA from 1 species
ACGAACGCUGGCGGCGUGCUUAACACCUGCAAGUCGAACGGAAAGGCCCUGCUUUUGUGGGGUGCUCGAGUGGCGAACGGGUGAGUAACACGUGAGUAACCUGCCCUUGACUUUGGGAUAACUUCAGGAAACUGGGGCUAAUACCGGAUAGGAGCUCCUGCUGCAUGGUGGGGGUUGGAAAGUUUCGGCGGUUGGGGAUGGACUCGCGGCUUAUCAGCUUGUUGGUGGGGUAGUGGCUUACCAAGGCUUUGACGGGUAACCGGCCUGAGAGGGUGACCGGCCACAUUGGGACUGAGAUACGGCCCAGACUCCUACGGGAGGCAGCAGUGGGGAAUAUUGCACAAUGGGCGGAAGCCUGAUGCAGCAACGCCGCGUGCGGGAUGACGGCCUUCGGGUUGUAAACCGCUUUCGCCUGUGACGAAGCGUGAGUGACGGUAAUGGGUAAAGAAGCACCGGCUAACUACGUG